UACGUAGGGUGCGAGCGUUGUCCGGAAUUAUUGGGCGUAAAGAGCUUGUAGGCGGUCUGUCGCGUCUGCUGUGAAAAUCCGGGGCUCAACCCCGGACUUGCAGUGGGUACGGGCAGACUAGAGUGUGGUAGGGGAGUGUGGAAUUCCCGGUGUAGCGGUGAAAUGCGCAGAUAUCGGGAGGAACACCAGUGGCGAAGGCGGCACUCUGGGCCGGUACUGACGCUGAGGAGCGAAAGCGUGGGGAGCGAACAGG
rnacentral:rRNA from 1 species